GACGAACGCUGGCGGCGUGCCUAAUACAUGCAAGUCGAGCGAAGUUUUUCUGGUGCUUGCACCGGAAAAACUUAGCGGCGAACGGGUGAGUAACACGUAAAGAACCUGCCUCAUAGACUGGGACAACUAUUGGAAACGAUAGCUAAUACCGGAUAACAGCAUUAACUGCAUGGUUGAUGUUUAAAAGUUGGUUUUGCUAACACUAUGAGAUGGCUUUGCGGUGCAUUAGCUAGUUGGUGGGGUAAAGGCCUACCAAGGCGACGAUGCAUAGCCGACCUGAGAGGGUGAUCGGCCACACUGAGACUGAGACACGGCCCAGACUCCUACGGGAGGCAGCAGUAGGGAAUCUUCCGCAAAGGGCGAAAGCCUGACGGAGCAACGCCGCGUGAGUGAAGAAGGAUUUCGGUUCGUAAAGCUCUGUUGUUAGGGAAGAAUGAUUGUGUAGUAACUAUACACAGUAGAGACGGUACCUAACCAGAAAGCCACGGCUAACUACGUG
rnacentral:rRNA from 1 species